UUUAUUAGGGGUUAGAGCAUCCGCCUCGUAUGCGGGAGGUCGUGGGUUCGAUCCCCAGUCGAGUCAUAACAA